AACGAACGCUGGCGGCGUGCCUAACACAUGCAAGUCGAACGAGAAAGUCCCGCAAGGGAUGAGUAAAGUGGCGCACGGGUGAGUAACACGUAGGUAACCUGCCUCUAAGAUCGGGAUAACCUGUCGAAAGACGAGCUAAUACCGGAUAAGACCACAGUCCCCGUCGGGGACAGGGGUCAAAGGUAGCCUCUGCUUGCAAGCUAUCACUUAGAGAUGGGCCUGCGUACCAUUAGCUAGUUGGUAGGGUAACGGCCUACCAAGGCAAAGAUGGUUAGCUGGUCUGAGAGGAUGAUCAGCCACACUGGAACUGAGACACGGUCCAGACU
rnacentral:rRNA from 1 species